ACGAACGCUGGCGGCAUGCCUAACACAUGCAAGUCGAACGGAGAUAUUUAGAGCUUGCUUUGGAUAUCUUAGUGGCGGACGGGCGAGUAACGCGUGAGUAACCUGCCCUUCAGAGAGGAACAACGUCUGGAAACGGGCGCUAAUACCGCAUGACAUGUUUUUUCCGCAUGGAAGAGACAUCAAAGGAGCAAUCCGCUGAAGGAUGGACUCGCGUCCGAUUAGCUAGUUGGUGGGGUAAAGGCCCACCAAGGCGACGAUCGGUAGCCGAACUGAGAGGUUGAUCGGCCGCAUUGGGACUGAGACACGGCCCAGACUCCUACGGGAGGCAGCAGUGGGGGAUAUUGCACAAUGGGGGAAACCCUGAUGCAGCAAUGCCGCGUGAGGGAAGAAGGUCUUCGGAUUGUAAACCUAAGUUGUCAGGGACGAAAGAAAUGACGGUACCUGAAGAGAAAGCUCCGGCUAACUACGUGCCAGCAGCCGCGGUAAUACGUAGGGAGCGAGCGUUGUCCGGAAUUACUGGGUGUAAAGGGUGCGUAGGCGGGAUGGCAAGUCAGACGUGAAAUACCGGGGCUCAACUCCGGGGCUGCGUUUGAAACUGUCGUUCUUGAGUGAAGUAGAGGCAGGCGGAAUUCCUAGUGUAGCGGUGAAAUGCGUAGAUAUUAGGAGGAACACCAGUGGCGAAGGCGGCCUGCUGGGCUUUAACUGACGCUGAUGCACGAAAGCAUGGGGAGCAAACAGGAUUAGAUACCCUGGUAGUCCAUGCCGUAAACGAUGAUAGCUAGGUGUGGGGGGACUGACCCCUUCCGUGCCGGAGUUAACACAAUAAGCUAUCCACCUGGGGAGUACGACCGCAAGGUUGAAACUCAAAGGAAUUGACGGGGGCCCGCACAAGCAGUGGAGUAUGUGGUUUAAUUCGAAGCAACGCGAAGAACCUUACCAGGUCUUGACAUCCAACUAACGAGGCAGAGAUGCGUCAGGUGCCCUUCGGGGAAAGUUGAGACAGGUGGUGCAUGGUUGUCGUCAGCUCGUGUCGUGAGAUGUUGGGUUAAGUCCCGCAACGAGCGCAACCCUUGUCCUUAGUUGCUACGGAAGAGCACUCUAAGGAGACUGCCGUUGACAAAACGGAGGAAGGUGGGGAUGACGUCAAAUCAUCAUGCCCCUUAUGACCUGGGCUACACACGUACUACAAUGGCGUUAAACAAAGAGAAGCAAGACCGCGAGGUGGAGCAAAACUCAAAAACAACGUCUCAGUUCAGAUUGCAGGCUGCAACUCGCCUGCAUGAAGUCGGAAUUGCUAGUAAUCGCGGAUCAGCAUGCCGCGGUGAAUACGUUCCCGGGCCUUGUACACACCGCCCGUCACACCAUGGGAGCCGGUAAUACCCGAAGUCAGUAGUCUAACCGCAAGGGGGACGCUGCCGAAGGUAGGAUUGGCGACUGGGGUG
rnacentral:rRNA from 1 species